UUGCUUGGGCCCAGGAGGUCGAGGCAGUGGUGAGCCAUGAUCACACCACUGCACUCCAGCCUGGGCAACAGCAAGUCCCUGCAAAGUUUAUAGUCAUAUAGAAUUAAGUAAUUCAGCAUGCUGCUUAAUACUAGAUCAAUAUGUGAAAUAAAUUACAAUUCUUUAUAUCAGUAAUAGAUAAAAAUGUAAAAUUACCCUUUACAACAGCAACAGAAAAUAUGAAAUGCUAGGGAAUAAUUCUAAUAAAAAGAGGAGCUGACCAAUGUGGAAAAGAUAGAAAGCUUUACUGAAAUACACUUAAAGACAUAAGUAAAUGGAGACAUACUAUUUUUAUGAAUAGGAAGACUCAUAAAAAUAUCUGUUUUUUCAAAAUCUACAAAUUCCAUGUAAGUCCAAUGAAAAUACUAACAGGCUUUUUCCUGGAACCUGAUGGUUGAAUAAACAAUUUAUAUGGAAGAGUAAAGGAACAAGAAAAGUUAAAGUGAUUUUUGAUGGAUAAGAAGAGCAGGAAGAAUUGACAUACAAAUGGUGCAGGCUUAUUAAAAACAUCAGUGAACGAGGCAGUGUGGCACCAGCACAGGGAUACACAAACAGAUAAAGUAAAGGGAGGAGACUGGAGAACCCAGUAACAGCCCCCCACGUAUGACAAUAUGUGACAGCAGUGACAUCAUAAUCAGUAGGGGUGGGGUAAGGAUGGACUAGUCAGUCAAUGAUGGUUAUUUAAAUAGAAAAAAGAAUUGGAUCUUUGACUAAAGAACAACAAAAACCCAAACAAAAAAUCCAGGUGGAUUAAAGACCUAAAUAUGAAAAGAAAUACAGAAGAAAACAGAUGUAGGGGAGGACUUCCUGAGUAAAACACAAAAAGCACAAAGUAAAAGUUCAACAACAAACUUACUGAGAACAGAUGAAUGAAACCUUGCCUGUCCUAUAAGGAAUACAGUCAUCUGCCAGAAGAAAAAUGGUGAUUCUUCCCAGUCCAAAGGUGAAGAUGGUGACUGUGAAAGUAUCAGCUUUAGCCAGACCACUGAUGAAGCUCCCAGAUGUCACAGCAUCCAUGGGCUUGUGAUCUCAGGUGAAGGCAUUGAACCCUGAGCCCUGGAUUCCCAUCUCUUCACUUGCUCCCUCCACCACCCCACCCCCAUAUUCAGAAUGGCCUCUAGGCUUCUAGGUUUGUGUCUUUAAUGGCACCUAGGCAAUAAAUAAAAAAUACAGUGCAGUGCUGACUGCAUCUUCCCUA
rnacentral:lncRNA from 1 species